UGCUACGCCGAGACAAGAGUCAUAUCAGUGGAGAUUUUCUUUCCUGGGACACGGUUGCGCUGAACUAUCUGAGAUGCCUUUUCAUCUAAUUGAAUUUCAGGCAAGCGAGGACAUUGCUUUUGUGCCAGUUGACUGGUAUGAUGACGGGAUGGUGUACUGGCCCAGCUUUAAGAGCACUGAACGUGUGAAACGGGCAGCUGCUAACGAGGAGAAGCAUGAGCCAAACUGGCCAAGAUAUGACGUAAAGGUCGUCAGAACUUGUGACAACUACAAAGAUGCCAUCAGGCUAAUGAAUCAAUAUCAGACUGGCUGCAACGCCUCUGAGCUACAGUCUUAGGCAGAGCAGGAG